AGAGUUUGAUCAUGGCUCAGGGCUAACGCUGGCGGCGUGUCUUAGCCAUGCAAGUCGAGCGGUCCUAUGGGGCGACCUAUAGGAUAGCGGCGGACGGCGGAGUAACACGUAGCUAACCUACCCUCCGGACGGGGAUAACCAUUCGAAAGGGUGGCUAAUACCCGAUGGAGUCAUCCGCAAGGGUGAUGAAAGGUGGGCCUCUGUUUACAAGCUCAUGCCGGGGGAGGGGGCUGCGGCCUAUCAGGUAGUUGGUGGGGUAAAGGCCCACCAAGCCUAUGACGGGUAGCCGGCCUGAGAGGGUGACCGGCCCGAGGGACACUGAGACACGGGUCCCACUCCUACGGGAGGCAGCAGGCUAGAAAUUUGGGCAAUGGGGGGAACCCUGACCCAGUGACGCCGCGUGCAGGAAGGAGCCCUUCGGGGUGUAAACUGCUGUCGUGCGGGGCGAAGGGUUUAUAGGCGAAUAGUCUAUAGACUUGACGGUACCGCAGGAGGAAGCCCAGGCUAACCUCGUGCCAGCAGCCGCGGUAAUACGGGGUGGGCGAGCGUUGCCCGGAAUUACUGGGUUUAAAGGGGGUGUAGGCGGUCUGGAUAGUCAGGUGUGUAAUCCAAUCGCUCAACGAUUGGACUGCAUCUGAUACUUUCAGGCUAGAGGGCGGUAGAGGAGAGCGGAACUCCCGGUGUAGCGGUGAAAUGCGUAGAUAUCGGGAGGAACGCCGGUGGCGAUGGCGGCUCUCUGGGCCGUUCCUGACGCUGAGGCCCGAAAGCUGGGGGAGCGAAAGGGAUUAGAUACCCCUGUAGUCCCAGCCGUAAACGAUGGGCACUAGGUGUGCCUCUAUAUAGGGGUGUGCCGACGGGAAACCAUUAAGUGCCCCACCUGGGGAGUACGCCCGCAAGGGUGAAACUCAAAUGAAUUGACGG
rnacentral:rRNA from 1 species